rnacentral:rRNA from 1 species
UACGUAGGGGGCAAGCGUUUGUCCGGAUUUAUUGGGCGUAAAGAGCGUGUAGGCGGCCACACAGGUCAGCUGUGAAAACUCGAGGCUCAACCUCGAGACGUCGGUUGAAACCGUAUGGCUAGAGUCCGGAAGAGGAGAGUGGAAUUCCCGGUGUAGCGGUGAAAUGCGCAGAUAUCGGGAAGAACACCCGUGGCGAAGGCGGCUCUCUGGGACGGUACUGACGCUGAGACGCGAAAGCGUGGGGAGCGAACAGG